CUACGGGAGGCAGCAGUGGGGAAUAUUGGACAAUGGGGGCAACCCUGAUCCAGCCAUGCCGCGUGUGUGAAGAAGGCUUUCGGGUUGUAAAGCACUUUCAGUAGGGAGGAAAACCUUAUGGCUAAUACCCAUGAGGCUUGACGUUACCUACAGAAGAAGCACCGGCUAACUCCGUGCCAGCAGCCGCGGUAAUA
rnacentral:rRNA from 1 species